GAUCCAUGACACCAAGCAAUAACCUCAGUUCUUUGAUUACGCGAAUAAUGCGCUGUUUCCAGUAAGUUUUAUGCGUAGUUAAGUAGCAGUAAAACUACAAAUUUAGCGAAUCCAUUACCACAGCCUCUAUAAAAUAUACUUAAUAAAAACAUAUAAGAUAAUUGACAGGACAGUGGACAUCGAGUAAAAUAUGUCAAACAGGUCUUGUUUAAAGGCAUUUUAAUGAAUAAUGAAGUUGUUUUUUGGUCUUCUUAACUUAGUAUCAUUAUAACCUUCGCUGUGCCACAAUGUACCCGAGUGUUUUUUGUCGAUGAAGAAAUGUGAUGCAAAUAUUUCGUUCAAUAUAGUGCCAAGAUCAAAUAAAUUAUUACUUAACUUUUCGGUUUUUAUUAUGUAAAUGUUUUACUUAAUAAAAAUGGGUAUCCAUCUGAUUUACCAAUAAAUCACAUUUUGGCAUGUUAUUGAAGAAUGGCACGUGCAAAUUUUUGAAACAAGUAUGUAGAGAUAAUUUUUGAAAAUAUAAAAUGAUAAAUUAAUAUUCAAAAAGUAUCAGUUUGACCGUGAACUUUGUCGAGGAAGUAGUUUAGUGCAAAGUUAAUAUGGCGGCCAGAACGAAAACUGUGAUCCUUAUCAUUACUAGUUUAUUACAAAUUUCAACCUCUCAAUCGUGCUUCCAACCUCUCCCUCACUGCUGCCAAGAGCAAACCAUCUACUCGAAGCCAUGCACCAACUCCAUAGCCAACUGCAUCCCGAUCAACGUGGCUUCUCAGCAAUCCUGCGAGCCUGGUACCUCGCGCUACGCAAACCCCACCCCCGGCGCUGUCUGCGAGCCGAUCCCCAUACAUCCCACGCGUCCUUGCACUUUAUGGGCUCCUAGUACCGCCGUCAGCUAUGACUGUUCUAAUGCUAAUAAGAUUUCUCAUAUCCAUCAAGGUAUUUCGACCUACCAUGAUGUAGCGUAUUCUCCAGUGAGGGAGGCUGAUUAUGUGUCACUGACCUACGCCGUACCGCACCCUCCAUGCCCUAACUGCGGUCAUUGACGUUCCUAUCAAUCGAUUUAUUUGACUAACCGCACAAUAAAAUCGGAUUUUUAUUACAGCGAUAUGCAAUGAUAAGUUUAUAGAUACGUGAAUAAAAAUGUUAACUGAAAUGCUUUGUUUUCUUACAAAACCUGCAAGGUCGUCACAACGUUAUUUUACUGCUAAUAAUGAUUAGCAAACAAAAUGUAAUAUUUCCCAGACAAAAGCAAUUUAAUCUGUGUUGCAAUGAAAAAGCAAUUUUAAGAUUCGAGUAGUAUUGAUCCAUGAUCCCAUUUAUAUCUGUGUUUGUGUAAAUCUGUCUGUAGCUACAUAGCUCCAAAACAAAUGAGCCAAUACACCAAUACAAAA